GUUCUGUCACGGUUUGGGUUACUGUCUGGUUUUAUUUAGUAGUUUCUUGCCUCUGUUCUCCCUGGGUCAUGUCACUUCCGGCCUUGUCCUGUCCUCCUCUGUGAUUGUCUGUCAUGGCAUGAUUGUUUCCACCUGUGUCCAAUCACCUGCACCUCCCUAGUGUUUUAAGCCAUGUGUGUCUGUUGUCACUUGUCGCGUCAUUGUCUUUUGUCACACAUGUCCCUGUCAAUCGUCCUGCCAGCCUUUCGUUCCUGCCAGUCUUUUUGCCCUUAGUUCCUGUGUGUUUUUGCCCCUUGGCCUUUUGCUCGUUUUGACUAUUGAAGUCCUUUUUGUUUUUGAACUCUGCGUUUGAGUCCUGCCUUCCCCGCAUCCCUGACAGGCUCUUUUGUUUGCUCUUACGUCCAUAAUUUUCUUUUGCGUUCUCCCGAGGGCCCGGUCAUCCUGCCUGAUGGCGUUUUUGAUGGUCUCUGUGACAAAUCGGCAUUCAGGUUCCCAGGUGGAUGGAUGAAUGGCUCUGGGGAGAAGCCAGUGUUGUACUUAAAAUGGCCCAGGAUUUUGAGUUGCUGAUGAUGGCGGUUUACAUCUCUUUCCAGCACGCUUUCUUCGUCCUUAUUUAAAGAAAAGGGUUCUAGUCUGCUGUCCCAGGAUGCCACUAAUGGCCACCACCAGAGUCCUCUGUCUGGGUUGUAGCUCUGAAGAAAACUGGAGAUGAAAAUUUCUGCCAUAAACACAUUUUUGGCCUGUGCCAGCAGUAUCUUUAGCUGCUUCUUCAUAUACAGUUGUGUAAAAAAGUGUUUGCCCCCUUCCUGAUUUUUUAUUUUUGCAUGUUUGUCACACUUAAAUGUUUCAAAUUAGACAAAGAUAACAAGUAAACACAAAAUGCAGUUAUUAUUAUGGGGAAAAAAUUCCAAACUUGCAUCGCCCUGUGUGAAAAAAGGAUUUCUCCCUAAACCUAAUAACUGGUUGGGCCACCCUUAGCAGCAACCGCUGCAAUCCAGCGUUUGUGAUAACUGGCAAUGAGUCUUUUACAGGGCUGUGCAGGAAUUUUGGCCCACUUCUCUUCGCAGAAUUGUUUUAAUUAAGUUUUUGAGCAUGAACCGCCUUUUUAAGAUCAUGCCACAGCAUCUCAAUUGGAUUCCGGUCGGGACUUUGACUAGGCCACUCAGUCUUCAUUUAGUUUUUCUUAAGCCAUUCAGAGGUGGAGUUGUCCUGCUGCAGAACCCAAGUGCGCUUCAGCUUGAGGUCACGCAAAACAGCCCCAGACAUCACACCACCACCACCAUAUUUUACUGUUGGUAUAAUGUUCCUUUUCUGAAAUGGCGUGUUACUUCUACGCCAGUUGUAAUGGGACAUAUGUCAGCGUAUCGUACCUUAUUUAACCUGCAUGCUUUUUGUGUGAGUUGUAAGGACUGCUGUCCCUUAUGUAAACUUCCUUUAGCUGACAAAAUAACUAUUGCUUCUACCUGUAAAUACUUGAUAAUCAACUGGCGAACCAGGUGCAAGGCGGAGUGUGGCUGAUUGGUGGAGUUUAAAAGAGCUAACGACUGCCACUACGGGGCGGACGGAGGACGAGGAGCAGCACGGACUGAACAGAGGAUAAUCUGGAUAGGAGAAACCUUGGCCACCCAGAAGAUUGGAUUGUUCCAGAUGGAUAUGUGACUGGUUAGAGGAUUGUGAUUUUAAGAGAAACAGUCUCUACGAUUUUAAGAUAUAACUUAUUCCUACCUUUUUAUAAAAAUAAAA
ensembl:lncRNA